rnacentral:tRNA from 1 species
GCGGGGGUAUCCGAGCCAGGUCAAAGGAGCAGGAUUUAGGUUCCUGUCGCGUAGGUGUACGGGCGUUCAAAUCGCCCCUCCCGCA